AAAAGGCAAGCGUCUUAAACGAUGUUUCCACUGCAAGUGAUUCGCUCUCCCAUUCGUAAUUCGCUCUCUCAUUCGUGAUUGGCGCCCCAAUUAAGAACCGAAUCACGUAAUU